AGCAGCCGCCGCGGGAAAACGAAGGGGGCUAGCGUUGUUCGGAUUUACUGGGCGUAAAGCGCACGUAGGCGGACUUUUAAGUCAGGGGUGAAAUCCCGGGGCUCAACCCCGGAACUGCCUUUGAUACUGGAAGUCUUGAGUAUGGUAGAGGUGAGUGGAAUUCCGAGUGUAGAGGUGAAAUUCGUAGAUAUUCGGAGGAACACCAGUGGCGAAGGCGGCUCACUGGACCAUUACUGACGCUGAGGUGCGAAAGCGUGGGGAGCAAACAGGAUUAGAUACCCCUGUAGUCCCUGUCUCUUAUAC
rnacentral:rRNA from 1 species